CCCCCUGGGCCACACAGGCGCCCAGGGCAUUUAGUUAAAAGAUUUAAUGUAGUUCCCAAAUACAUUUCAUAUGACAAUCUUACAUAAAUGUUCCAAAACACA